rnacentral:tRNA from 1 species
GUGCCGGUAGCUCAAAAGGUUAGGGCAUCAGCCCCAUAUGCUGGAGGUGGCGGGUUCAAACCCGGCCCUGGCCA